rnacentral:ncRNA from 2 species
AAUAUAGGUAAGCUUUAUGGUGUGUUUGCAUGAUUUUUUAUCUUACUAAGAGAUCAGGUAAACACUUAAAAGGGAAGACCGGUGAAAGUCCGGCGCGGUCCCGCCACUGUGAACGGGGAGCAACUCUUGGAUUCACCACUGUUUCAUAAGACUGAAAUGGGAAGGUAUAGAGAAGCGAUGAUCCGUAAGCCAGGAGACCUGCCAUAAAGAAAGCACCGUU